GAUGAAGAACGUAGCGAAAUGCGAUAAGUAAUGUGAAUUGCAGAAUUCAGUGAAUCAUCGAAUCUUUGAACGCACAUUGCGCCCGCCAGUAUUCUGGCGGGCAUGCCUGUUCGAGCGUCAUUUCAACCAUCAAGCCCCCGGCUUGUGUUGGGGACCUGCGGCUGCCGCAGGCCCUGAAAGCCAGUGGCGGGCUCGCUAGUCACUCCGAGCGUAGUAAUACAUCUCGCUCAGGGCGUGCUGCGGGUUCCGGCCGUUAAAAAGCCUUAUUUACCCAAGGUUGACCUCGGAUCAGGUAGGAAGACCCGCUGAACUUAAGCAUAUCAAUAGGCGGAGGA
rnacentral:misc_RNA from 1 species